rnacentral:rRNA from 1 species
UGGGGAAUUUUGGACAAUGGGCGAAAGCCUGAUCCAGCAAUGCCGCGUGUGUGAAGAAGGCCUUCGGGUUGUAAAGCACUUUUGGCGAGAACGAAACAGCGCCUGCUAAUACCGGGCGCGAAUGACGGUACUCGCAGAAUAAGCACCGGCUAACUACGUGCCAGCAGCCGCGGUAAGACGUAGGGUGCAAGCGUUAAUCGGAAUUACUGGGCGUAAAGCGUGCGCAGGCGGUUUUGUAAGACAGAUGUGAAAUCCCCGGGCUCAACCUGGGAACUGCAUUUGUGACUGCAAGGCUAGAGUGCGUCAGAGGGAGGUGGAAUUCCGCGUGUAGCAGUGAAAUGCGUAGAGAUGCGGAGGAACACCGAUGGCGAAGGCAGCCUCCUGGGAUGACACUGACGCUCAUGCACGAAAGCGUGGGGAGCAAACAGG